rnacentral:rRNA from 1 species
CCAGACUCCUACGGGAGGCAGCAGUGAGGAAUAUUGGUCAAUGGGCGAGAGCCUGAACCAGCCAAGUCGCGUGAGGGAGUACUGCCCUAUGGGUUGUAAACCUCUUUUGUCGGGGAGCAAAAGCCGGACGUGUCCGGCUGUGAGAGUACCCGAAGAAAAAGCAUCGGCUAACUCCGUGCCAGCAGCCGCGGUAAUACGUAGGGGGCGAGCGUUAUCCGGAUUCACUGGGUGUAAAGGGAGCGUAGACGGCCAUGCAAGCCAGGGGUGAAAGCCCGGGGCCCAACCCCGGGACUGCCCUUGGAACUGCAUGGCUGGAGUGCGGGAGGGGCAGGCGGAAUUCCUGGUGUAGCGGUGAAAUGCGUAGAUAUCAGGAGGAACACCGGCGGCGAAGGCGGCCUGCUGGACCGCGACUGACGUUGAGGCUCGAAAGCGUGGGGAGCGAACAGGAUUAGAUACCCUAGUAGU